rfam:Betaproteobacteria bacterium RIFCSPLOWO2_12_FTLL_68_20 rifcsplowo2_12_scaffold_4967, whole genome shotgun sequence.
CGCGUGCGCGAGCAAUUGCGCACGUGAACGGGCAGAGGUCAGCAGAGGCCAUAGUAGUUGCGGAGGUUUCCACAAGAGACAGAGGCAACGAAGGGC